rnacentral:rRNA from 1 species
UACGGAGGGUGCAAGCGUUAUCCGGAUUCACUGGGUUUAAAGGGAGCGUAGGUGGGCUAAUAAGUCAGUGGUGAAAUCUCCGAGCUUAACUUGGAAACUGCCAUUGAUACUAUUGUCUUGAAUAUUGUGGAGGUUAGCGGAAUAUGUCAUGUAGCGGUGAAAUGCAUAGAUAUGACAUAGAACACCAAUUGCGAAGGCAGCUGGCUACACAUAUAUUGACACUGAGGCUCGAAAGCGUGGGGAUCAAACA